rnacentral:rRNA from 1 species
GACGGACCACCCAAACGUUAUUCGGAAUCACUGGGCUUAAAGCGUGCGUAGGCGGCCCUGAAAGUUAGGUGUGAAAUCCCACAGCUCAACUGUGGAACUGCGCUUAAAACUACAGGGCUAGAGGAUAUAGAGGUGAGCAGAACAGAUGGUGGAGCGGUGAAAUGCGUUGAUAUCAUCUGGAAUACCGGAGGCGAAGGCGGCUCACUGGGUAUCUUCUGACGCUGAGGUAACGGAAGCCAGGGUAGGCGAACACGGGGA